GACGAACGCUGGCGGCGUGCUUAACACAUGCAAGUCGAACGAUGAACUUGGAGCUUGCUCUGGGGGAUUAGUGGCGAACGGGUGAGUAACACGUGAGUAACCUGCCCUGGACUCUGGGAUAACUUCGAGAAAUCGGAGCUAAUACCGGAUAUGACCAUGCCAGGCAUCUGGUGUGGUGGAAAGUUCUGGCGGUGAAGGAUGGGCUCGCGGCCUAUCAGCUUGUUGGUGAGGUAAUGGCUCACCAAGGCUUCGACGGGUAGCCGGCCUGAGAGGGUGACCGGCCACACUGGGACUGAGACACGGCCCAGACUCCUACGGGAGGCAGCAGUGGGGAAUAUUGGACAAUGGGCGAAAGCCUGAUCCAGCAACGCCGCGUGAGGGAUGACGGCCUUCGGGUUGUAAACCUCUUUCAGCAGGGACGAAGCGCAAGUGACGGUACCUGCAGAAGAAGCACCGGCCAACUACGUGCCAGCCGCCGCCGUAACAC
rnacentral:rRNA from 1 species